GACGAACGCUGGCGGCGUGCUUAACACAUGCAAGUCGAACGGUGAAGGGGUCUGCUUUUGUGGGCCCUGGAUGAGUGGCGAACGGGUGAGUAACACGUGAGUAACCUGCCCCCUUCUUCUGGAUAACCGCAUGAAAGUGUGGCUAAUACGGGAUAUUCUGGGUCUGUCGCAUGAUGGGUCUGGGAAAGAUUGCGCCUUUGGGUGUUGUUGGUGGGGGAUGGGCUCGCGGCCUAUCAGCUUGUUGGUGGGGUGAUGGCCUACCAAGGCGGUGACGGGUAGCCGGGCUGAGGGGGUGGACGGUCACACUGGAGCUGAGACACGGCCCAGACUCCUACGGGAGGCAGCAGUGGGGAAGAUUGCGCAAGGGGGGCAAGCCUGAUGCAGCGACGCCGGGUGAGGGAGGGUGGCGUUCGGGUUGUAAACCUCUUUCGAAAGUGAAGCAGGCCUGCUCCGUGUGGGUGGGUUGACGGUAGCUGGAGAAGAAGCGCCGGCUAACUACGUG
rnacentral:rRNA from 1 species